rnacentral:rRNA from 1 species
GAUGAACGCUGGCGGCGUGCCUAAUACAUGCAAGUCGAGCGAACAGACGAGGAGCUUGCUCCUCUGACGUUAGCGGCGGACGGGUGAGUAACACGUGGAUAACCUACCUAUAAGACUGGGAUAACUUCGGGAAACCGGAGCUAAUACCGGAUAAUAUAUUGAACCGCACGGUUCAAUAGUGAAAGACGGUUUUGCUGUCACUUAUAGAUGGAUCCGCGCCGCAUUAGCUAGUUGGUAAGGUAACGGCUUACCAAGGCAACGAUGCGUAGCCGACCUGAGAGGGUGAUCGGCCACACUGGAACUGAGACACGGUCCAGACUCCUACGGGAGGCAGCAGUAGGGAAUCUUCCGCAAUGGGCGAAAGCCUGACGGAGCAACGUCGCGUGAGUGAUGAAGGUCUUCGGAUCGUAAAACUCUGUUAUUAGGGAAGAACAAAUGUGUAAGUAACUAUGCACGUCUUGACGGUACCUAAUCAGAAAGCCACGGCUAACUACGUG